UACGUAGGUGGCAAGCGUUGUCCGGAAUUACUGGGCGUAAAGGGCGUGUAGGCGGCCUUUUAAGUCAGACGUGAAAUCUCUGGGCUUAACCCAGAAAUUGCGUUUGAAACUGGAGGGCUUGAGGAUCGGAGAGGGCAGUGGAAUUCCCAGUGUAGCGGUGAAAUGCGUAGAUAUUGGGAGGAACACCAGUGGCGAAGGCGACUGCCUGGACGACACCUGACGCUGAGGCGCGAAAGCUAGGGGAGCAAACGGG
rnacentral:rRNA from 1 species